CUGUAUUCUUCCCAGUAUCUGUGAUACAUAACCAGUACUUGUUCUUCAGAUUCCAAAACUCUCUUGUGCAAAUGGCGUACAUGAUUUUCCAAGAAAAUUUUUGUCUCAGUAUAAAGUCUCUCUCCGAGAGGUUCAGGAUAGGCCACACACAAAGCAUAAAUGUCUGAGAAGCGGUCAUUCCACGUCGCUCUUUCAACAUAAUCCAACAUAACAACAGCUUUAAUUGUUGUUAGAAGUUUGUUCCAUGUUUCAUCGAAGUCAACUACUCGUGGUUUCAAGGACAUUGUGGGGUUUUAGUGUUAAUCUGGCGGCACGGGGCCCGAUCCGCGCCGCCGCCGGCUCCCUCGCUCCCUGUCGCGCGGCCGCGGUCCUGCCCCGCUCCUCGUCCUCACAGCGCUGCCAUUACCCAAGCCGUUCGCCCCUCGCGCCCCGCCCCUCGCCGGCGCCGCCACUACGGGUGGGGGUGAGGUGAGGUCAGACAGCACAGCCCCUCUGCCGCGCCGCCCCCGCGCCCCUUCCUCACCCGCAGCACCGCGGGCCGCCCGUCACCUCCACCCCGCCCCGGCCUCUCCCCACCGACCGCAGGAUGGACGGGGCAGACGGCUUACGGCGCGCCGUCACUUUCCG
rnacentral:lncRNA from 1 species